rnacentral:rRNA from 1 species
GCCUAAAGCGUCCGUAGCCGGCUUUGUAAGUUUUCGGUUAAAUCUAUAUGCUCAACAUAUAGGCUGCCGGGAAUACUGCAAAGCUAGGGAGUGGGAGAGGUAGACGGUACUCCGUAGGAAGGGGUAAAAUCCUUUGAUCUAUGGAUGACCACCUGUGGCGAAGGCGGUCUACCAGAACACGUCUGACGGUGAGGGAUGAAAGCUGGGGGAGCAAACCGGAUUAGAUACCCGGGUAGUCCCAGCUGUAAACGAUGCAAACUCAGUGAUGCAUUGGCUUGUGGCCAGUGCAGUGCCGCAGGGAAGCCGUUAAGUUUGCCGCCUGGGAAGUACGUACGCAAGUAUGAAACUUAAAGGAAUUGGCGGGGGAGCACCACAAGGGGUGAAGCCUGCGGUUUAAUUGGAGUCAACGCCGGAAAUCUUACCCGGAGAGACAGCAGGAUGAAGGUCAAGCUGAAGACUUUACCAGACAAGCUGAGAAGUGGUGCAUGGCCGUCGCCAGCUCGUGCCGUGAGGUGUCCUGUUAAGUCAGGUAACGAGCGAGAUCCUUGCCUCUAGUUGCUACCAUUACUCUCAGGAGUAGUGGAGCGAAUUAGCGGGACUGCCGUAGUUAAUACGGAGGAAGGAGAGGGCCACGGCAGGUCAGUAUGCCCCGAA